GUCUAUAGCCAUACUACCUUGAAUGCACCGGACCGUGUCUUAUCCUGGAGGCUAAGCAGGGGUGGGCUUGGUUAGUACUUGAAUGAGACACCCCUGUGAAUAUUGGGUGUUAUAGCUU
ensembl:rRNA 5S_rRNA 5S ribosomal RNA